rnacentral:rRNA from 1 species
AUUGAACGCUGGCGGCAGGCUUAACACAUGCAAGUCGAGCGGGGAAGGGUAGCUUGCUACCUGACCUAGCGGCGGACGGGUGAGUAAUGCUUAGGAAUCUGCCUAUUAGUGGGGGACAACAUUCCGAAAGGAAUGCUAAUACCGCAUACGCCCUACGGGGGAAAGCAGGGGAUCUUCGGACCUUGCGCUAAUAGAUGAGCCUAAGUCAGAUUAGCUAGUUGGUGGGGUAAAGGCCUACCAAGGCGGCGAUCUGUAGCGGGUCUGAGAGGAUGGUCCGCCAAACUGGGACGGAGACACGGCCCAGACUCCUACGGGAGGCAGCAGUGGGGAAUAUUGGACAAUGGGCGAAAGCCUGAUCCAGCCAUGCCGCGUGUGUGAAGAAGGCCUUUUGGUUGUAAAGCACUUUAAGCGAGGAGGAGGCUACCGAGAUUAAUACUCUUGGAUAGUGGACGUUACUCGCAGAAUAAGCACCGGCUAACUCUGUGCCAGCAGCCGCCGUAACAC